rnacentral:antisense_RNA from 1 species
CUUCAGCGAACCCAGCCACAGCGGCCGGUCGGUGGUGUGCUGCGCGCCGUAGGUGGCGAUCAGCGCCUGCGCCUC